GAGUUUGAUCUUGGCUCAGGAUGAACGCUGGCGGCGUGCCUAAUACAUGCAAGUCGAGCGAACAGACGAGGAGCUUGCUCCUCUGACGUUAGCGGCGGACGGGUGAGUAACACGUGGAUAACCUACCUAUAAGACUGGGAUAACUUCGGGAAACCGGAGCUAAUACCGAAUAAUAUAUUGAACCGCAUGGUUCAAUAGUGAAAAACGGUUUUGCUGUCACUUAUAGAUGGAUCCGCGCCGCAUUAGCUAGUUGGUAGGGUAACGGCUUACCAAGGCGACGAUGCGUAGCCGACCUGAGAGGGUGAUCGGCCACACUGGAACUGAGACACGGUCCAGACUCCUACGGGAGGCAGCAGUAGGGAAUCUUCCGCAAUGGGGCAAAGCCUGACGGAGCAACGCCGCGUGAGUGAUGAAGGUCUUCGGAUCGUAAAACUCUGUUAUUAGGGAAGAACAAAUGUGUAAGUAACUAUGCACGUCUUGACGGUACCUAAUCAGAAAGCCACGGCUAACUACGUGCCAGCACGG
rnacentral:rRNA from 1 species